CCCCAGGUCAUUGUGGGCUCUCUCACCAAGCUGUAAGGUAUAGUCCCCAGGUCGAUGUGGGCUCUCUCACCAAGCUGUAAGGUAUAGUCCCCAGGUCGAUGUGGGCUCUCUCACCAAGCUGUAAGGUAUAGUCCCCAGGUCUUUGUGGGCUCUCUCACCAAGCUGUAAGGUAUAGUGCCCAGGACAUUGUGUGCUCUGUGGGCUUGUCUCAAGCUGUCUGCAGGAUUGCCUGCAGAGAAUAAUAGGCCCUAAACACCAGGUUGUUAAGUAGGUGGGUGAGUCGUCUGGGGAAGUGGGAACUGACGCAGCCUGUGGCUCUCCUUGAUUUAAAAUUAGAUUAAUAAUAAUAUUAACUUUAUUUGUAUAGCACAUUUUUAGUACAAAUACUCAGUGAUUUACACACAAUAAAAAUACAUAAAAAUAAUAAUAAUAAAAAUAAUAAAAACUUACAUAUUUUUUUUAAGUAAAGGAAGUAAAAGGAAUAAACAAAAUAUAAAAUCACAAUGAUAAAAUAUUAAUAGAAGCCAUGUUAUAAAAAUGCAUUUUUAGGUAAGAUUUAAAGAAUGCAAUUAUAUAGCAUCUCCAACAUUCUGUGGUAGGCUGUUCCAGAGUCUAGGGCCCAUAUAGCAAAGGCCCAGUUCCCUUAGUUUUCAGUCAAGACUCCGGGACCGCCAUAAGCAUUACAGUAGUCAAGGCGAGAUUAAAUAAAAGCCUGUAUAAUUUUCUCAGUGUCCUUAAAAGAUAAAAUCAAUCUUAUUUUGGCAAUGUUUCUAAGUUGGUAAAAGCAUGACUGCACCAGUUUUUUUGUGUUAUAUUCAAAGUGUUAGUCCCAGAUUUCCCAGAUUUCUGGCCACAGGCACAAUAUUUUUUGCUAGUGAUCCUAGAGUCAACCGAACUUUAUAGAUGGGGGGUCAAUAAUUAAAACUUCGGUUUUAUCAGUGUUUAACUGAAGAAAAUAAAUGGACAUCCAGUAUGUAAUUACUUCCCAGAAAUUAUGCAGAACACACAACUUGCUCAGGUGAUUUGGCUUAACUGACAAAUACCACUGCAUAUCAUCUGCAUUACAAUGAAAAGACAUGUCAUGCUGCUAAAUUAUACUACCUAAUGGAUGCACAAACAGAGAAAACAGGAUUGGUCCCAGGAUGCAACCCUGUGGAACACCACAUAUGACAGGAACAGAGGAAGACAUAUAAUUGUUAAUGGACACUACAAAUGCUCUAUUUGACAGAUACAACUUGACCCAAUCUAAUGCAAUCCCUGAGAUCCCAACACAUCUUCUGUCAAAUAAAAGUCUGUGAAAUAAAAUGUUGUGGUCUACAGUAAAGUGUUGAAACCUGCACAAAGAUCCAGUAACAAUAAGAUUGAACAUUCUCCAGAGUCAGCAUUCAACUAGUUAUUUGUAACCUUAGCAAGAGCAGUUUCAGUACUUUGUCUCUGUCAAAAGCCUGAAUGGAAUUUCUCAAAAAUAAAACUGUGUUCCACCACCUGUAAACGUUGCUUUGCAAAAAUGUUCUCUAAAAUGUUCAUUAAGAAGGGUAGCUUGGAAAUUGACCUGUAGUUAUUAAAAACAGAGGUGUCAAGAUAAGUUUCUUAAGAAGAGGCUAAACACAUGCUGACUUAAAUUAGUCAGGGACACAACCUGUGUGGAGAGAGCUGUUUAUAAUGGAGAGUAAUUCAGGGUCUAUUGUUCCGAUCAUUUCUUUAAUCAGUCUGGGUGGUAUAAUGUCUAGAGGGUAAAAGGAGGGUUUUAAAUUAGAUGUCAUACCUAAAAGGUUUUCUUAAACAAUUGGAGUAAACGUGUUAAAUUUACAUUUAAGUUCACCUAAUCAUAAUGUUUUCGGUACACAUAUUACCGUGUUGUAACAUCACAUGAUACAGUGUUGUCACAGGCAGAUAACACAGUCUACAGAUGAGCGAGUAUUAAAGGUAAUCUAAAAUGUCAUCCAGAGGCAGAGAUAAGGGUCUAGACAAGAUAGGACAAUGGAUAACCUGUAGUUCCCUGGAAGAGAUUUAUUUAAUUGGUUCAGAAACAGAUAGUACAAUGAUCUUAUACAAUGAGCCUUGUCCUGCUAUUGCAGGAGACACCUACAGUCACACUAGAAUAACACAGACUAGUGGAGUUUAGAGUAGAGAAUCCGGAGUAAAGUGAGUUAUGGUUACAGCAAGUAAAGGGUUAGCAGUUCUCUCCUCGGGUCUGUUCAGUAUCGGAAAAAGGCUACACCCUUAACCAAGAGCAAAUCAUUCUGACCGUUUUAUAAAGAAACAAUGCUGUCUUGCUAGAAAAGGUUUGUCAAAACAUCCUGUGUUGAAGGCCUGCAUCGGAGAGACAGAUAGUCCUGUAAACACAGGUAACUAGUGCCACUGUAGUUUUGCAAGGUCUUUUUGGUUGUAAAUGCCAACACUAAUGGAAAGUAGUCCAGAUGACACCACCCCAGGUCAUUUGUAUCUAGAGCUUCGUGUCUUUCCACAAUCUUUUUGUCUUAGGUGAUAAUCUCCCUCAACCUGUUCCACGUUCUCACCCUUUCACGUACAUCACCCGCUGAGUUUCAGUUGUUGGAGAAUGUUUUGAACCUAAGGCAACACUCUUGGAUCUACACUGCGUAACCUGUAACCAAUGACACCACAUGCAUUGGGAAAAAGAGAGAAGAGAAGAGAGAGAGGAGAGGACAGGGUAGAGAGGAGAGAAGAGAGGGCUGGGGGGGGCAGAGAGGAGAGUGAGGGCAGGCAACCACAUGAGGAGAAGUGCCUACAGUGCAGGAGAAAUGAGGAGAAAGGCCUACAGGGCAGGAGAAAUUAGGAGAAAAACCUACAGGGCAGGAGAAAUGAGGGGAAAUGCCUACAGGGCAGCUGCGGACUCAGUCAAUGUCUGAGUAUUUGCAAAUGUACUUGGCAAAUGAAGUGAUUCAGAUUCUGAUUCUGUACUGCUGGGAAAGCAGAAAAUUUUAUUUUCCUCCUGACUCCCCCUCCCUUUCUCUUCCUGUCGUUUCAGCAAAACAACAUUUCUGGGAAAAGGAAGUGUCCCUUCCUCCCUUUGGGUCAGUGCAACACCAUGUCAGUGUGUCUGAUCUGAUUCAGCCUGGUCAUUUUCAGACACCAACACCACUGAUCUGACUGAGUCACCCACCCAUUCUGUUUCUCCCCAGCUCUUUCUUUCUCUCAUCUCUCUCUAGUUUUUCUAUCAUUAUAUGACUCUUACAGAGAUGUUCUGCCUGCAUGUGUACAGAAUUUAAAUAUAAAGGAAGAAAGAAAACCUUGAAAGAUCUUGAGGUUGAGAGGGUGGAGGGCACACACAACAUUGUCCUGAGUUGUGCUCUUAGGGAAAGUGAAAGAGCGGUCUCUCUCUCUCUCUCUCUCUCUCUCUCUCGCUCCUAGACCGAGACAUGAGUCAUAGCAUUCUUGUCUUUCUUCCCCAGGAGGCUCGUCUGUUCGGGCUAUAAAUGGAAGCAGUAGAGACACUGUAGGCUUCCCUCAUCGCCCACCCAGGGACUGAGUUAUGCCGUAUUACAGUGUAAUGGCUUCUGACUGGGCUGGGCCUUAAUGAAGACAAAUGGCAGCCAGGGCUACUGGGGCAUUGUGGGAUACGACGGCUAUAUUUCUCUUUCUCCUCCAUUUUGAUUUCUCAAUCAACAUUGCAAAUAGAGAUAAAGCAUCUUAUGUAACUGAGAAUUAAAUACAGAUAAAUAUAAAAAUGUUAUUAAGUAUAAAUGAUACUAGCUAAUUUUGUAUAUUUUUUCCUCAUUAACUGUGUUUGUCGGCACAAUAGAACUAUGAGUGAUGCUUUCACAAGAAUUUCACAUUCAAAACAAUCGUCUUCAAUCCCUGAGGAACAUGAGGUACAUAUUCCUAAAACCUGGAUGGCUGUCAGAACUAAUGCAGCAAUAUGUUAUAAAGGUCAAGUGCUGUUUGGUCCACAUCUGAAAAUCUAUCCGUAUAGAAAUGAUACUGACUGACAUUUAUUAGUUGGCUAGUCUCCCUCCCCCUGCAGUGUCUAUCAAUAAUGUCUGCUACAUCCCAGGGACAGACUGCUCCUGAUCUGAAAAUGGCUCAGAUAAAUAAAUAAUGUAAUUUCUAAUAAUGUCUUUCUAAAUCAUAUACUUAUCAAAUAACUGUGACCCAUUAAGUACACAUAUGAUCUGCUACAGUGGAUAUAAAAAGUAUACACACCCCUGUUAAA
ensembl:lncRNA